GACGAACGCUGGCGGCGUGCUUAACACAUGCAAGUCGAACGGAAAGGCCCUGCUUUUGUGGGGUGCUCGAGUGGCGAACGGGUGAGUAACACGUGAGUAACCUGCCCUUGACUUUGGGAUAACUUCAGGAAACUGGGGCUACUACCGGAUAGGAGCUCCUGCUGCAUGGUGGGGGUUGGAAAGUUUCGGCGGUUGGGGAUGGACUCGCGGCUUAUCAGCUUGUUGGUGGGGUAGUGGCUUACCAAGGCUUUGACGGGUAGCCGGCCUGAGAGGGUGACCGGCCACAGUGGGACUGAGAUACGGCCCAGGCUCCUACGGGAGGCAGCAGUGGGGAAUAUUGCACAAUGGACGGAAUCCUGAUGCAACAACGCCGCGUGCGGGAGGACGGCCUUCGGGUUGUAAACCGAUUUCGCCAGUGACGAGGCGUGAGUGACGGUAAUGGGUAAAGAAGCACCGGCUAACUACGU
rnacentral:rRNA from 1 species